rnacentral:lncRNA from 1 species
UACUCUUCACAAUACACUCACUCUACAUAUAGAGAUGAUGAAGAUAGUGAAAAAUUUGAACCUCAUAGGAACUCUAUGUGGUACUAAGUCACUCAUGUAUCUUAUCAUGCAAUGUAUAAAGUUUAAAAUAUUGUACUAAUUCAUUAUAUAUAAAUUAUUAUGGUGUGUUUAAACUUCUUUCAUUAAUUACUACAUAUUUUCUACACUCACAAUGUUUGCCAACUCGCUAUAUAAUCAACUUGAUAAUGUUAAAUCCAUCAUGCAAUGCAUUUCCUUCCAAUUUUUUGUGAUAAACUAAUAGAUAAUUGACUAAAUAAACAUCCUGCAAAGUUUCAAUAAAAAUUUCCAAGUUUUUCUUACAAUUUCUGUGGUUUCCAUAUUAUUUUUAUCGAUAUCGAUAUUAUCCCGAUAUUUCCAUCGAUAUUUCCGUGUUUUCGGACUACCGAUAUUUCCGAUAUUAUCGAUAUUUAAUACCUUGUGCAUAACAUACAAAUUUUCGAGCUUUGAAUUGCUUUGUACAAAGAUCAGUAUUUUGUUUUGUAUACAACUAUUGAACUUAUUAUUUGAAUCCAAAGUGGAAAAGUUAGGAAGACAUUCACAAAACCAAAUCAAACGCACCAAAUAUGACAUCAAAGAAUAAAUUAUGUAAAUUGACAGAUUGAAAGAAACUCAAUAUAGAUUAGAAAGAGAGAGAGAAUACCGGAGAAAGUGGGAAAGCGAAGAGAGACACAGUUGUAGAGGUUAACGAAGGAAGCCACUUCCAAGAAAAUGCAAGCUUGAAUAAUUAAAUUUAUUGUUACAGAUGAUUAACUCUAAGGUUUGUCAAUAUCUGUGAUAAAAUGCAUGUAAAUGGUUAAAUGGGUAAUUUAGCUCGUUUAUUUUACCUCAGCCACCAAAGCAAAAUUCAUUAAUCACCCAUUCUUAUUUAGAUCAUAGUUACAAAUACAUACAUAUAUUCUGGAAAGUUUAAAUAUGUAAUUGUGCAAAGCAUAUUAUGAGGGAACCAAAAAACCAAUAUAUAGAUGUAAAGAGAUUGAGAGAUGGGCUACCUAGCUGGACUUGGACUGGAGAAUAGUGUUGAUAACAUACCCAAGAAUGUGAUAUCCCGUCCCCAAAAUUAGUAUUUUAUUUUAUUCUUGACGUAUUUCAGAGAUUUAAUUGAAGUUAGUUUGUUAAAUUCUCAGGUUUUGAGAAAACGAAGUGAGGGAUAUUUCUGUCAUUUCCAAUUUUAUUCGACCUUUUCGGUCAACUCUUGAGGUUUUUAGGUAGAGCUUAAUUCAACGAGCGUGUAGGCCCAAAUGGAUCUCAAUGCCAAAUUAGAACGAAGAAGUUAGAGACGUUUGAAGUUGGAGGACAUUUUGGUAAGUGGCCAAAAUGUUAUAAAUAGAAGGAAGCCUCCUGAAAAUUUCCAAAAACAGAAAGGCUGAUUUCAGCCCCCAAUUUGGGGGGAUUUCAACCCAUUAACCCGCAAACUUGAUCCGCUCGUAUCUCCUUUAUCUGAGCUCCGUUUUGGGUGAUCUUAGUGUCCAUGAAAAGCUCAUGACGAGCCCUACAUCUCUGCAGUGUUAGAUUUCCCAUUUUCUUUUCCAUUUUUCCAGUUAAAAAACCACAAAGCCCACGAUUUUUUCGGCUGUUUUGUCAUUCUUCAGAUUCCGGCAACCAUUUCCUUCAAGUGAGGUAUGAAACUUCAUCUAAUCUUAUUAAUAUUCAAGUUGGUAUGCUUGGUUCGUGCUUUCGUAUUCGUUUUAGAGUUGGGUGUUUAGAACCCCUAGAAAUCCGGAGAAAUUGGAUGGUUUACAGCUUGAAUUUGUCUUCAGCCUAGUUAUGAAAAGUGUUUUCCUUGUUGAGCUCUAGCUACCCCUUAAAUUUGAGCCCUUUUGGUUAAAGUUGAAAAUGUCGGGUUUUCUAAACCCUCCACCUUGGCUACCACCGCGUGUGGCAGUGUGUGGGCCCGUCCACAAGUAUUAUCUAACUAGCAAAGACCUUCUAGUGACCUUGUGAACCUAUUUCUAGCUCGGUUUCCCAAAA